AACGAACGCUGGCGGCAUGCCUAACACAUGCAAGUCGAACGAGACCUUCGGGUCUAGUGGCGCACGGGUGCGUAACGCGUGGGAACCUGCCCUUAGGUUCGGAAUAACUCCCCGAAAGGGGUGCUAAUACCGGAUAAUGUCUUCGGACCAAAGAUUUAUCGGCUUUGGAUGCGCGCGCGUUGGAUUAGCUAGUUGGUAGGGUAAAAGACUACCAAGGCGACGAUACAUAGCUGGUCUGAUAGGAUGAUCAGCCACACUGGGACUGUGACACGGCCCGGACUCCUGCGAGAGGAAGCAAUGGGGAAUAUUGGACAAUGGGCGAGUGCCUGAUGCAGCAAGGCCGCGUAAGUGAUUAAGGCCUUAGGGUUGUAAAGCUCUUUUAACAGGGAUGAUAAUGACGGUACCGGAAGAAUAAGCGCCGGCUAACUACGUG
rnacentral:rRNA from 1 species